rnacentral:rRNA from 1 species
UACAGAGGGGGCAAGCGUUGUUCGGAAUUACUGGGCGUAAAGGGCGCAUAGGCGGCGAACCAAGUCAGAUGUGAAAGUCCUGGGCUUAACCUGGGGACUGCAUUUGAUACUGGUUUGCUUGAAUUCGGGAGAGGAUAGCGGAAUUCCCAGAGUAGAGGUGAAAUUCGUAGAUAUUGGGAAGAACACCGGUGGCGAAGGCGGCUAUCUGGACCGACAUUGACGCUGAGGCGCGAAAGCGUGGGGAGCAAACAGG